rnacentral:rRNA from 1 species
AAAACAAGGAUGAACGCUGGCGGCGUGCCUAACACAUGCAAGUCGAGCGGAGUUUAUUAAGGAAGUCUUAGGACGGAAAGAAUGAACUUAGCGGCGGACGGGUGAGUAACACGUGAGCAACCUGCCUUUAGCUGGGGAAUAACACUGGGAAACCAGUGCUAAUACCGCAUAACAUCCAAGUGUGGCAUCACAUUUGGAUCAAAGGAGAAAUCCGGCAAAAGAUGGGCUCGCGUCCGAUUAGAUAGUUGGUAGGGUAAAGGCCUACCAAGUCAACGAUCGGUAGCCGGACUGAGAGGUUGACCGGCCACAUUGGGACUGAGACACGGCCCAGACUCCUACGGGAGGCAGCAGUGGGGAAUAUUGGGCAAUGGGGGAAACCCUGACCCAGCAACGCCGCGUGAAGGAAGAAGGUCUUCGGAUUGUAAACUUCUUUGAUCAGGGACGAAGAAAUGACUGUACCUGAAGAACAAGUCACGGCUAACUACGUGCCAG